UACAGAGGUCCCAAGCGUUGUUCGGAUUCACUGGGCGUAAAGGGUGCGUAGGUGGCCAGGUAAGUUUGGUGUGAAAGCUCGGAGCUUAACUCCGAAAAGUCAUUGAAUACUAUCUGGCUGGAGGGUCGGAGGGGAGACUGGAAUUCUCGGUGUAGCAGGUGAAAUGCGUAGAUAUCGAGAGGAACACCAGUGGCGAAGGCGAGUCUCUGGACGACUCCUGACACUGAGGCACGAAAGCUAGGGGAGCAAACAGG
rnacentral:rRNA from 1 species